rnacentral:rRNA from 1 species
GAUGAACGCUGGCGGCGUGCUUAACACAUGCAAGUCGAACGAAGAUGCCGGAGUGCUUGCACUUUGGCAGACUGAGUGGCGGACGGGUGAGUAACGCGUGGGUAACCUGCCUUAUACAGGGGGAUAACAGUUGGAAACGACUGCUAAUACCGCAUAAGCGCACGGUAUCGCAUGAUACAGUGUGAAAAACUCCGGUGGUAUAAGAUGGACCCGCGUCUGAUUAGCUAGUUGGUGAGGUAACGGCCCACCAAGGCGACGAUCAGUAGCCGGCCUGAGAGGGUGAACGGCCACAUUGGAACUGAGAAACGGUCCAGACUCCUACGGGAGGCAGCAGUGGGGAAUAUUGGGGCAAUGGGCGCAAGCCUGACCCAGCAACGCCGCGUGAAGGAAGAAGGCUUUCGGGUUGUAAACUUCUUUUAAGAGGGUAAGAGCAGAAGACGGUACCUCUAGAAUAAGCCACGGCUAACUACGUGCCAGCAG